AUACUUACCUGGCAAGGGAAAUACCAUAAUCACGAAGGCUGGUUUCCCAGGGGGAGUCUAAUCUACUGCACUCCCUAUAUGCUGUCUCUUGUGAUUUCCUCAAUGCGGAAGACUCAAGUGCAUUAUUUAUGGUAAUGGGGGACUACAUUCAUGCUUUCCCCUC
rnacentral:snRNA from 1 species